AGAGUUUGAUCAUGGCUCAGGAUGAACGCUGGCGGUAUGCCUAACACAUGCAAGUCGAACGAUGUCUUCGGACAUAGUGGCGGACGGGUGAGUAACGCGUGAGAAUCUGCCUCUAGGAUGGGGAUAACGGUUGGAAACGACCGCUAACACCCAAUAUGCCGUAAGGUGAAAAAUUUAUUGCCUGGAGAGGAGCUCGCGUCUGAUUAGCUAGUUGGUGGGGUAAGAGCUCACCAAGGCUUCGAUCAGUAGCUGGUCUGAGAGGAUGAGCAGCCACACUGGGACUGAGACACGGCCCAGACUCCUACGGGAGGCAGCAGUGGGGAAUUUUCCGCAAUGGGCGAAAGCCUGACGGAGCAAUACCGCGUGAGGGAGGAAUGCCUUUGGGUUGUAAACCUCUUUUCUCAGGGAAGAAGAUCUGACGGUACCUGAGGAAUAAGUAUCGGCUAACUCCGUGCCAGCAGCCGCGGUAAUACGGAGGAUGCAAGCGUUAUCCGGAAUCAUUGGGCGUAAAGCGUCCGCAGGUGGUUUCCAAAGUCUGCUGUUAAAGACUGGAGCUCAACUCCGGAACGGCGGUGGAAACUUGGAAACUAGAGUUCGGUAGGGGUAGCAGGAAUUCCCAGUGUAGCGGUGAAAUGCGUAGAUAUUGGGAAGAACAUCGGUGGCGAANGCGUGCUACUGGACCGUAACUGACACUCANGGACGAAAGCUAGGGGAGCGAAAGGGAUUAGAUACCCCUGUAGUCCUAGCUGUAAACGAUGGAAACUAGGUGUGGCUUGUAUCGACCCGAGCCGUGCCGUANCUAACGCGUUAAGUUUCCCGCCUGGGGAGUACGCACGCAAGUGUGAAACUCAAAGGAAUUGACGGGGGCC
rnacentral:rRNA from 1 species